rnacentral:rRNA from 1 species
GAUGAACGCUGGCGGCGUGCCUAAUACAUGCAAGUCGAGCGAACAGACGAGUAGCUUGCUCCUCUGACGUUAGCGGCUGACGUGUGAGUAACACGUGGAUAACCUACCUAUAAGACUGGGAUAACUUCGGGAAACCGUAGCUAAUACCGGAUAAUAUUUUGAACCGCAUGGUUCAAUAGUGAAAUACGGUUUUGCUGUCACUUAUAGAUGGAUCCGCGCUGCAUUAGCUAGUUGGUAAGGUAACGGCUUACCAAGGCAACGAUGCGUAGCCGACCUGAGAGGGUGAUCGGCCACACUGGAACUGAGACACGGUCCAGACUCCUACGGGAGGCAGCAGUAGGGAAUCGUCCGCAAUGGGCGAAAGCAUGACGGAGCAACGCCGCGUGAGUGAUGAAGGUCUUCGGAUCGUAAAACUCUGUUAUUAGGGAAGAACAAAUGUGUAAGUAACUAUGCACGUAUUGACGGUACCUAAUCAGAAAGCAACGGCUAACUACGUG